UACGUAGGGUGCAAGCGUUAAUCGGAAUUACUGGGCGUAAAGCGUGCGCAGGCGGUUAUGUAAGUCCGAUGUGAAAUGCCCGGGCUUAACCUGGGAACUGCAUUUGUGACUGCAUGGCUAGAGUUUGGCAGAGGGGGGUAGAAUUCCACGUGUAGCAGUGAAAUGCGUAGAUAUGUGGAGGAACACCGAUGGCGAAGGCAGCCCCCUGGGUCAAGACUGACGCUCAUGCACGAAAGCGUGGGGAGCAAACAGG
rnacentral:rRNA from 1 species